ACAAAUCUUUUCUAAUAAUUUGAAACGAAAACCGUAUGCAACAUCCCACAUAAAUCGGAUAUUGCCAAAUGUGGGUAUCAUGAUACAACAACAUUAGUGGCCAAAGACUCUUUCUUUCUCUCUCUUCUCUUUCUACGAUUGUGUUCGCUCUAGACGCCCCAAAAAAUAUUGAACCCACCGGUGAACGGCGUUCGGUGGCUUCCACAGCACCGAUGCCGGGAAAGAGGACGUGACAGAGCUUGAAGACGACAUCAGAUCUUCUUCUUUUAGCCUUCGGCUUGGGUUUUCCCGGCGCGAUUUCGGUUUGGAUGGAUCGAUUUUAUCUCUCUCCUGCGGCUCUUCGUGGUGGCAACUUUCUGGUGCGGAGCUUCAUGGUGAGGAGUCUCUCAGUAGCUGUUCAGAGUGGCUGCGGCGGUGGUGUUGUGGAGGUUUCAGAGCGGAUCCGUUUGAGGCUUUGAUGUGGCUUUGUUGGUGGCUCAGUUUAUGUUGCCUUGUGUGUAGCUGUUUGUUGUUUGUUGUUUUCUUGUUCAUGCUGCGACUUUGGCGAAGUAGGGAGGAGUUAAUGAGAGAUGGUUAUUGAAACCAUGAAAGACGAUUUGCUCGGCCAUUUUUGUUUUAGCUUUUGUCUCCUCUAGGGGAAGUGUAUAGGGGAGUCUCAUGUUGUGAGUAAGAUGGAGCCGGCUUAUUCAUCUCUCGUGCUAGCAGCAGCAUUGGAUUCUGAUGAGCAUUUCCCAAGCCGCUAGUGUUGUCACUUGAUUGAUCAAUGGUGGUUCCGGUCUGUGGUUUUAACCACAGUUUUCGAGCGUUUUUUGAUCGAGAAAGUUGUAGGUACUAGGUUUGAAGACUGCCUUGAUUGCGUACGCUCGCGGCAAUUUUGAGUUCAUGUUGUGCUCUGCAUUUGUCUUUCUCUAU